rnacentral:rRNA from 1 species
GAUGAACGCUGGCGGCGUGCUUAACACAUGCAAGUCGAACGGAAAGGCCCAAGCUUGCUUGGGUACUCGAGUGGCGAACGGGUGAGUAACACGUGGGUGAUCUGCCCUGCACUUCGGGAUAAGCCUGGGAAACUGGGUCUAAUACCGGAUAGGACCACAUUUUGGAUGGUGUGGUGGAAAGUUUUUCGGUGUGGGAUGAGCUCGCGGCCUAUCAGCUUGUUGGUGGGGUAAUGGCCUACCAAGGCGUCGACGGGUAGCCGGCCUGAGAGGGUGUACGGCCACAUUGGGACUGAGAUACGGCCCAGACUCCUACGGGAGGCAGCAGCGGGGAAUAUUGCACAAUGGGCGCAAGCCUGAUGCAGCGACGCCGCGUGGGGGAUGACGGCCUUCGGGUUGUAAACUCCUUUCGCUAGGGACGAAGCGCAAGUGACGGUACCUGGAGAAGAAGCACCGGCUAACUACGUG